rnacentral:misc_RNA from 1 species
AUUGUCUGUCCCUAAAUAAUCUACCCCCUCGCCACCGCCAAGUUCGGCUACAUGGUGUAUAUCAAAAGAUAUAGGAGAUUUAUUUGAGAUUAGAGUUGAGUAUAGAGUUCAGUGACAAAAGGCCCCUAUACAAAACCCAAUCUCAAAAUUCAAGACAUUGAGUGAAGAGACCCAAAAACCAUACAGCCCCAUCAGUAUCUAGGCCCAGUGGCCCACAUAUCCACCUGGGGCAAACAUAGAGAACAGCACACCCCCAAGCCUUGCACACCGACCGGAAGAUAAUAGAGACCUCCGAUCAAGAAGAAACAAAGCAAAUCUGCAAGGCUAUCACCACCACUCAUAAGCAAGGCUUCCAGAAAAAUGGCAUUAGGCUUCAAAAAUCAAAACAACAAAAAGCAGGUCCAAGUUUAGAGAUUUGCAGAAAAAGCAAAUAGGUAGAGCUUAAUCGAUGACGCAGCUGGCAUACUCAGGAGCAUGUCGGCUAUACGACCUCUAAGAUAUCCAUCCUCACGGAAUCUCAAGCACCCUUUUCACAGGGCAAUCUCAGAGAAAUAGCCAAGCCAAAUUCAGUCACCUUAGAAAUUGAAGCCACCUGCCCAUAGAAUCAAAGCAGCUACAAUAUACCCUCUUCCCCAAAGCUCAGGCUGCUUGCCCAACAAAAAUUAUUUAUAGCCAUCCCAGCAAUUGGAGAGGUCAGAGGAAAUCGGCCUUCCCCUGUCCCAAGGAGCAGAAGAAGGUUGUCUGUUGCCGUAAAAUGAAGGGUUCAAACCCUAAAUAAAAACAAGAAGAAUAUAACAACGAGAAGA